rnacentral:rRNA from 1 species
AGUGAACGCUGGCGGUAGGCCUAACACAUGCAAGUCGAACGGCAGCACAGUAAGAGCUUGCUCUUACGGGUGGCGAGUGGCGGACGGGUGAGGAAUACAUCGGAAUCUACUUUUUCGUGGGGGAUAACGUAGGGAAACUUACGCUAAUACCGCAUACGACCUACGGGUGAAAGCAGGGGAUCUUCGGACCUUGCGCGAUUGAAUGAGCCGAUGUCGGAUUAGCUAGUUGGCGGGGUAAAGGCCCACCAAGGCGACGAUCCGUAGCUGGUCUGAGAGGAUGAUCAGCCACACUGGAACUGAGACACGGUCCAGACUCCUACGGGAGGCAGCAGUGGGGAAUAUUGGACAAUGGGCGCAAGCCUGAUCCAGCCAUACCGCGUGGGUGAAGAAGGCCUGUGGGUUGUAAAGCCCUUUUGUUGGGAAAGAAAAGCAGCAGGUUAAUACCCCGCUGUUCUGACGGUACCCAAAGAAUAAGCACCGGCUAACUUCGUG